rnacentral:rRNA from 1 species
AUUGAACGCUGGCGGCAUGCCUUACACAUGCAAGUCGAACGGUAACAGGUCCUCGGAUGCUGACGAGUGGCGAACGGGUGAGUAAUACAUCGGAACGUGCCUAGUAGUGGGGGAUAACUACUCGAAAGAGUGGCUAAUACCGCAUGAGAUCUACGGAUGAAAGCAGGGGAUCUCGAGACCUUGUGCUACUAGAGCGGCCGAUGGCAGAUUAGGUAGUUGGUGGGAUAAAAGCUUACCAAGCCGACGAUCUGUAGCUGGUCUGAGAGGACGAUCAGCCACACUGGGACUGAGACACGGCCCAGACUCCUACGGGAGGCAGCAGUGGGGAAUUUUGGACAAUGGGCGAAAGCCUGAUCCAGCAAUGCCGCGUGCAGGAUGAAGGCCUUCGGGUUGUAAACUGCUUUUGUACGGAACGAAAAGCCCCGGGUUAAUACCCUGGGGUCAUGACGGUACCGUAAGAAUAAGCACCGGCUAACUACGUGCCAGCCGCCGCGGUAA